AGUGAACGCUGGCGGUAGGCCUAACACAUGCAAGUCGAACGGCAGCACAGUAAGAGCUUGCUCUUACGGGUGGCGAGUGGCGGACGGGUGCGGAAUACAUCGGAAUCUACUUUUUCGUGGGGGAUAACGUAGGGAAACAUACGCUAAUACCGCAUACGACCUACGGGUGAAAGCAGGGGAUCUUCGGACCUUGCGCGAUUGUAUGAGCCGAUGUCGGAUUAGCUAGUUGGCGGGGUAAAGGCCCACCAAGGCGACGAUCCGUAGCUGGUCUGAGAGGAUGAUCAGCCACACUGGAACUGAGACACGGUCCAGACUCCUACGGGAGGCAGCAGUGGGGAAUAUUGGACAAUGGGCGCAAGCCUGAUCCAGCCAUACCGCGUGGGUGAAGAAGGCCUUCGGGUUGUAAAGCCCUUUUGUUGGGAAAGAAAAGCAGCAGGUUAAUACCCCGCUGUUCUGACGGUACCCAAAGAAUAAGCACCGGCUAACUUCGUG
rnacentral:rRNA from 1 species